rnacentral:lncRNA from 1 species
AGAAAUUUAGAAAUUCUUUUUUUGAUUUUUGUAUGAUUUUACGAAAUUGAUAGGUUAAGCACCUAGUAAUGGACCAAUUCUAGUAGUUAUAUGGUUGAUUAUCAUUAAUAUUGAUUAAUUUUCCCCCAAUUUGGUGUUUUUCGAGUUUUUGGGAAAAACUUUGGUUUCGGUUUGAAUCUGUAUUUCUAUUGUGUUUUGAACCAAAUUGGUGUUGUAUUAAUCUUGUAGGAGUACCGAUUAUCGAACCCCUGUGCUUCCUAGACCAAAAUUUGGACGAAAUCGGACCCAAAUCGAAUAUGUUCUUCAUCGUGUUCUUGAGGUGUGCGACACAUAUGAAGGUGCCCGAGGUGCAUCUUCAUAUGCACGUCGUGGAUGAAGAAAUGCAUGCAAGGUGUAAUUUUUCUAGAUUUUCUCAUUUUCUCGUUUUUAUUUUAAUUCCCUAACAUUCUUAGUUGAUUAUUCAGGUUUCACAAUGAACAGACGACAUUGGGUCAGGCCUUUUCCUCACGAUUGGCUGACACACCCAUUCUUGUCUUUCCCUGCUACCCUUCCUGACUGAGAGUAUUAUAUAUAUAUGGAGGAGUUCGGAGCUAAUGACCAAGCAGAUCAGUAUCUCGCAGUCUCUUAACUGGCAUGUUGCAGGCGAUUUGGGUUUGACGUCGCUACUGGAGCCGUUUCUCAUGCGAUCUCUUCACGAUGAGACAGGUCUCAUGACUUUCUUUAGUCAUGUCUGGCGUCACGUUUUGGGAUUCCGGGAGAUUAUCUUUAGGGAGCUCAUUCUAGAGUUCUUUUCCUACUGUCCAGUUUAAUUGGGAUGUCAGGGUUUGGUCGGACGACCCAACCUUGUCUUUCAGGCUGGGUGUGGUUGCCCAAUUUUGUAGUUUGUUAAAGCUAGGGCAUCGAUUGGAGAUAUACCUUAUCACAGAUAUUGAUCAACCUUUCUUGGAGGCCUACUUAGAUAGUUUUAUUCUCUCAGAGCCGAUAAAAUACUAUCAUCUAAGCUUCUAGGCCCUUGCCGUCGGAGAGUAUGUGUCGAGGUCGGCAAAGGAGAGCAGAUUCAGGUCUCCCUUCCACCGUUUCAUGCACCGCCUUAUCGCCUCCACUAUUUAUCGUUGUGAGGAGCACGAUAAGGUCCCUUCAGGCGACCAUUUAUUGAUAUGGUGCUUCCUUUAUACUGACGUUCACUUCCACACCCCUUACACCAUUGCUUUUUUCCUUUCCUCUAGUUUAGCUCUAGGCUCUUAGCUACUAAGCAAGAUAUGUGGCGGCCAUUUCAUUUUCCGCUUGGCUCAGCCCUAUGGGGUUGAUACUCAUGGGAUGAAUCAUUAUCCCCUUCGAGAUUUGGACGGGGCGGCUCUGACGCGGCUAUGAGCGGUUGUUCGUGGUCUAGAUCAGGUUUUAAGGAUUCCUCCUGACGAUGUUGUUGUGCCCAUCCAUCAGGUGGAUCCAAAGCACGUAGAGGAGAGAGAGUUUUAGACGGGCUAUCAUCAUCAGUGUGUUCACCGUGCCCCCUGGUGCUCAGCGAGGUCUGCAGCUCGAGAUGGAUAUAGCUCAUCUCUCUGGACGUAUAGACGAGCUGACUAGGGAGGUCCAUGAUGCCUGCCACUUCCAGGAAUGGAUGGCGGGUUCCAUAAGUAUCUAUAUAGACCGAGUGAUGGAUGGCGGGUUUGAUUUUCAGGGAUUUUCCUAUCCCUCUUAUUAGCGACCGAGCAAUGGGGCGGGUACAUCUGAGACGCGUCAUGACGACGAUGAUGACACUAAUGAUGAUGAUGAUGGUUGUGAUGAGGAUGAUGAGGAAUAUAUUGGCUAGUUAUGUUUAUUUGUUGUUACUAUCUGGGUAUGUAGAUUUCUUUUAUUUUUGUAUGUUUUAGCAGUGAUGUAUGGGCAUAUACGCUUCAUUUUUGGUAGACAACUCCAUGAUGUAUCUAUGUAGAUUUUUGGUAUUGUAUGUAUAUUUUACGUUAUUAUCGGUUCAUAGUUGUAUUUGUUUUACGCCUUUUUGGAUUGCUUAAACUUUUACUUUGCUAUUUACCAUAUUUAAGUUGAGUAGUGCAUUAGACUCA